GCUCCACGUUCGGCGGUGCCGUGGCUCGGAGGCGCUUUGGAGGCGUUGAUUGCAUCGCUGUGUUCGGUUUGCAGCGGGUGUCCGCUAAGGGAUACGGUGUUCUUCCUGAGCGGUACGGUUCUCGGUGCCGGUAGGGAUGAUAAAGGGUACUGAGAAAAUACGUCUCCCUUAGAGUCCCACGGAAAGGUUCUCAGUGCGAUCUCUAUCAAGUGCUAUGAGUCUUGAUCAAUUGGAGAAGAGCCCAAGAGAAAUUUUUCAUCCCUUGAUAUAAAAGGGAUCGGUGAAUUUUAACUUUGGAGUCCCCUAUGCUAAGGAUGCUGAGCUUACAGGUGAUGAAAUGUUCAGUAAUGUAUUUGCUGCAGCUCUGCUUACCCAAGCUUUGGGUUCCUUCUGUCCCACUGGGAGUUGCCCAAUUUGGUUGCAUCUGGUGAAAUUCACCCUGAGACCUUACAGAACCAGCUCCAACUACGUGAGAGCCAUUUGCAGUUCUCUCCAGACACCUGGAGAAUGGGUGACGUUUCUGAGGAUCCGGCGAGCGUGCUUCUGUCAAAACUCAGUCUGUGAAAUUCCUGGGGAAAACCCUUCUGUGUCCUGAAGGGUUCAAACUCUGGGAAAGACUCUCGUAUCCUUGUCGUCGGGCUCGGUGCUGUCCAAGAAGAUACAGAGACUAAAAAAAUCAUAAGAAGCAAAAUACGACUGCAGGGAAAAGAAGCUGGAGAGAACAGAAGAAGUCGAUGUAAUCCUGUGGAGGAGUUUUUAAUUCUGUGCUGCCAUGUCAUCGAUCAGGGCCCUGUCAUACUAAUCAUCAUACAAGUGCAAAACAAAAAAUCAGACCCUGUCCCAACAACUUAGAGCCCAGAACACGAUUUCCUCGGGCUGCCAUUUGUGUGCCAUCGGUACUCACCACGGAAGCGAGCUGGGGAUUGUUGCAGCUGUUGGGAACAAACCGCUUCUCGUCACACAGAAAUGGAAUUGGGACGACGCCUCGGCCAGCCCCUCUCUGCCAUCGUCUCCUGAAUCUGCAGCAGAGCAGUUCCAGUCCAUCCGGGCAUGUGUAAUCCAGUUCCUGAUGAUCUGAGCACACAGAGAAGCACUCAGCUGCUGUGGGGGGCUCAGGGAAGGCCAAGUGUGCAUUGUCAUCUUCCUGAACCUACAGACAAAUCAAAGUGAGAAGCCACAGCGUGGAAAUCAGUCGCAUAUAUGCUAAAUAAAACUUGCAGAUUUUUUUUAAGAA